AAAACCACCUGCCGCAGACGUCCACUCACGAGAACCACCUGCCACCAAUGUCUCUGCUGCACUCAAUCCUCCAACCUGCAACCCGGGGUUCGGAACUCCAAUCUUAUUGGUGCAGAACUGUACCACCACCGCUGUUCCAGUCAACAGGAGACGGCACCCCAUAAGGACCAUGGGUGCCCAACCCAGAGAAGAGUCCGAGUGAUGAAGUUGCAGGAACCAAUUGUGUCUGUGAUGAACCACCUGUCCAACUCCACAAA
rnacentral:lncRNA from 1 species